rnacentral:rRNA from 1 species
GACGAACGCUGGCGGCGUGCCUAAUACAUGCAAGUCGAACGCACUCUCGUUUAGAUUGAAGGAGCUUGCUCCUGAUUGAUAAACAUUUGAGUGAGUGGCGGACGGGUGAGUAACACGUGGGUAACCUGCCCUAAAGUGGGGGAUAACAUUUGGAAACAGAUGCUAAUACCGCAUAAAACCUAACACCGCAUGGUGUAGGGUUGAAAGAUGGUUUCGGCUAUCACUUUAGGAUGGACCCGCGGUGCAUUAGUUAGUCGGUGAGGUAAAGGCUCACCAAGACCGUGAUGCAUAGCCGACCUGAGAGGGUAAUCGGCCACACUGGGACUGAGACACGGCCCAGACUCCUACGGGAGGCAGCAGUAGGGAAUCUUCCACAAUGGACGAAAGUCUGAUGGAGCAACGCCGCGUGAGUGAAGAAGGUUUUCGGAUCGUAAAACUCUGUUGUUGGAGAAGAAUGUAUCUGAUAGUAACUGAUCAGGUAGUGACGGUAU